rfam:Candidate division WS6 bacterium GW2011_GWC2_36_7 TS24_C0011, whole genome shotgun sequence.
UAUAAAGCAAAAUAAGAGCAUACGGUGAAUGCCUUGGCGUAGAAGACCGAUGAAGGACGUAGUAGGCUGCGAUAAGCCUCGGGUAGCUGUCAAACGAGCUAUGAUCCGGGGAUUUCCGAAUGGGGUAACCUGGCUGGAUUUAAACCCAGUCGCCUUACAGUAAAUACAUAGCUGUAUAGGUGGGCACGCGGAGAAGUGAAACCUCUCAGUAUCCGCAGGAAAAAAGAACAAGAGUUUAUUCCCUUAGUAGUGGCGAGCGAAAAGGGAGGAGUCUAAACUCAUAUUGUGUAAGAGUAAUCUGAAUUGUGAGUCGCGUUGCGACAAGCGAGGAGGAGAACUCGUAGAUUGCUGUUCGUGCAAUAUGAGUGUUGUAAGGGUUAGUAGGGUCAGCAGCAAGCGACCCGGAGAUAUACAUAUUUCAUUUUAAUAGAAAACAUCUGGAAAGGUGUGCCAUAGAAAGUGAAAGCCUUGUAUAUGAAAAGAUGAAAUAUCUCUUCUAACUUCUUAAGUACCACGAGGCACGCGAGAUCUUGUGGGAAGCGGCCAAUACCACUUGGCAAGACUAAAUAUCUUCUACGACCGAUAGUGUAUUAGUUCCGUGAGGGAAAGGUGAAAAGUACCCCUGUUAGGGGAGUGAAAUAGUUACUGAAACCGUAUGCUUACAAACAGUCAGAGCCGGUAUAUCCGGUGAUGGCGUGCCUAUUGAAGAAUGACCCAGUGAGUUCGUUGUGCGCGGCAAGGUUAACCAUGUUUAUUGGGGAGCCGAAGCGAAAGCGAGUUUGAAUAGAGCGAUUUGAGUCGCGUGCACGAGACCCGAAACCUAGUGAUCUAACCAUGAGCAGGAUGAAAUUUUGAGAAAUCAAAACGGAGGUCCGAACUAUUUAGAAUUGCAAAUCUAUGAGAUGACUUGUGGUUAGCGGUAACAUGCCAAUCGAACUAGGUGAUAGCUGGUUCUCCCCGAAAUAGCUUUUGGGCUAGCGUCAUAAUUUAAUUCUUGGGGGUAGAGCACUGAUUGGAUCUGAGGCCCGAAAGGGUACUCAGUCCAGUCAAACUCCGAAUACCGAGAUGUACAUUGUGGCAGUUAGAGUCAGGGAUCUAAGUUCCUGUGCUCAAGAGGAAAACAGUCCAGACCGUCAGAUAAGGACCCUAAAUUAUACUUUAGUGGGAAAGGAAGUGGAGUUUCUCAAACAGUUAGGAGGUUGGCUCAGAGGCAGCCAUCCUUUAAAAAGUGCGUAAAAGCUUACUAAUCGAGAGAUUCUGCACUUAAAAUGUAACGGGGCUGAAAGUAUAUUCCGAAGCUGCGGAUUUGUGUAUCCUUUUAGGAUAUGUGAGUGGUAGGGGAGCGUUCUAUACAUGAUCGACUUAGCAGUCGAUACAUCGCUGUGAAGGUGGCCUGUAAGGAGCUGCUGGAGCGUAUAGAAGUGAGAAUGCUGGGAUGAGUAACGUAAAGCAGGUGAAAACCCUGCUCGCCGAAUGUCUAAGGUUUCCAUGGCUAUGUCAGUCAACCAUGGGUUAGUCGGUCCUAAGUAGAGGCUGAAAAGCGUAUGCGAUGGACAACAGGUUAAUAUUCCUGUACUACUGAUAUCAGUGAUGAAGAUAGAGAAUUGAAAAGGCAAGCCCCUUAAUGGUUUGGGGUUCAAGCAACGAGAGAGUCUUUUUAGGUAAGUCCGGAAAGAUGUUUCUACUCCGGUAGAUGGACACGAGUUGCGAUGUAAAGGGGACCCUCGGGAAUCCAAUUUGUCAGACUAAUUUUCCAGGAAAAACUUCUAACAGUGAGUGUUUACACUCACAAAUGAUAUCUGUAACCGUACUGCAAACCGACACAGGUGGACUGGUGUGAAUGCACCAAGGCGUACGAGUGAUGCGUCGUUAAGGAACUCGGCAAAUUAACCCCGUAAGUUCGCGAGAAGGGGGGCUUUCCACUAUAAGUAAUUUUUAUUUGUAGUGAUGGAAGCAGCAUAGAAUAGGGAAGAACGACUAGUUACCAAAACUACAGGCGCUUGCAAAUUCGUAAGAAUAUGUAUAAGUGCUGACGCCUGCCCAAUGCCAGAAGGUUAAAGUAGCUUGUUAUCCGUAUGCCAGACUCACUUCGGUGUGUCCGGUGGUGGUGAAGCAGGUAGCUGAAGCCCUGGUCAAUGGCGGCUGUAACUAUAACGGUCCUAAGGUAGCGUAAUACCUCGUCACUUAAUUAGUGACUUGCAUGAAAGGCGUAACGAUUCUUCCGCUGUCUCGACGGCGCGCUCGGUGAAAUUGAAAUGGCUGUGAAGAUGCGGCCUACCUAUACCAGGACAAAAAGACCCCGUGGAGCUUUACUGCAACUUUGCAUUGAAAUAGGGUUUUGAAUAUAGAGAAUAGGUGGGAGACUUUGAAGUCCUCUCGUUAGGGAGGGUGGAGUCGUCAGUGUAAUACCACUUUUUUGGAAUUUUAUUUCUAACAGAAUCCAUUAUCUGGAUUUUGGACAGUGUAUGGUAGGCAGUUUGACUGGGGCGGUUGCUUGCUAAAGAGUACCGCAAGCGCACUAAGGUCUCCUCAACUCGGAUGGAAAUCGAGUGAAGAGUGCAUAAGCAUAAGGAGGCUUUACUGUGAGGGAGACAUCCCGAUCAGUUACGAAAGUAGGUUUAAGUGACCCUUUGAUUGCGCGUGGAAGCGUCAUUGUUUAACGGAGAUAAGCUACCCCGGGGAUAACAGGCUAGUCUUGCCCGAUAGUUCAUAUUGACGGCAAGGAUCGGCACCUCGAUGUCGGCUCGUCGCAUCCUGGGGGUGAAUAAGCCCCCAAGGGUUGGACUGUUCGUCCAUUAAAGCGGCACGUGAGCUGGGUUCAGACCGUCGUGAGCCAGGUCGGUCUCUAUCCGGUAUAGGCGUUGUAUAUUUGAAGGAAGCGGCCCUUAGUACGAAAGGAUCAGGGCGUGGUAAUCUCUGGUGUAUCAGCUGUACUACCAAGUGCAUCGCUGAGUAGCUAAAUUGCUAAUGGAUAAGUACUGAAAGCAUAUAAGUACGAAGCUAAUCCUAAGAUUAAAUAUACUUGUGCAGUUCGCUGCACGAAAGAUCCGUGGUAGACCACCACGUUGAUAGGCUCCAGGUGUAAGCAUAGCGAUAUGUUCAGCCGAGGAGUACUAAUAGAUCGAAAGCUUUUUUUG